ensembl:lncRNA
CAGCGAUCACCUAGGUGAGGACUCAAAGAGAAACCUGCACAUACAGAGAGUACCCCAAGACAAAACAUUCCUAUGAGACUGAGAAGAUAGGACGGCUCCCAGUUCGAUGAGGAACACCAAUCUUGAUUGUUGAUCCGGGUCACAGCACCAAUGUGACCUUCCUGGUCCCGUCCAGCCUCGCUGUACAGUGGAAAAACUGGAAAGGUUCAGGAUUGGAAGAAUACAUGAUCAGGACAGUGGAGGAUGACCUGGUGGAAAUGAAGAAUAAAUGCUGCUCAUGCUGCAAAGAAUUUCCACUGUGUUAGCAGAUGCUGAGACGGUACAACCUGCUGACUGAUGCAUACCAUAUACUUGGCCUUGGAUACCAGUUCCUACUCACCCUCUCAGUUACCCAGGUAGUUCCUACUCACCCUCUCAGUUACCCAGGUAGUUCCUACUCACCCUCUGUUACCCAGGUAGCUUGUGAGUGAAGUUUCUCUACCUUAAAGUAUAUCAAGAGCACUCUCUCACAAGAACACCUAGA